CCUUUGCUUUUCGGGACCCCAACCCAACCUUUCACUUGGCUCCUGAAGAGAAGCAGGGCUGACUCAAAAGGGUAGGGUCCUAGAGAUGACAUUGACAGAGGGAACACAUGAGGAGAUGAUGGGGUUACUGGAGGAAGAACCCUUUGGUAGGUGCUGCUGGAAUUGGCCAGGGAGGAGGUGCCCUCCCUUUACAAUGAGGCCUGGGACCAAAAGAGGUAACUCAAGCUCAUGUACCAAUCUCUCAUCCUUC
rnacentral:lncRNA from 1 species